AUGCUUACUGUCAAACAUGUUGUAGCUCAAAUCAGAUCCGAGGACUGGUUUGUCACGAUAGAUCUCAAAGAUGCAUACUUCCACAUAUCCAUCCUUCCACAACACAGGAAGUUUCUGAGGUUCGCUUUCGGGGGCAAAGCUUAUCAAUAUCGAGUACUUCCAUUCGGCCUUGCACUCUUACCCCGCACGUUAACGAAAUGUGUAGAUGUGGCUCUGGUACCCCUCCGUAUGCAGGGCAUCCGCAUUCUAAAUUAUAUCGACAAUUGGUUGAUUCUAGCUCAAUCAGAGCAGAUGGCGGUUCGACAUCGAGGUGUUGUUCUCGCCCAUAUGGGGGAGCUGGGUUUGAGACUGAAUGCUAAGAAGAGUGUACUUUCUCCAGUUCAGAGAACCACCUAUCUAGGCGUAGUAUGGGAUUUGACCACGAUGCAGGCACGUAUGUCUCCUGCUCGGAUCGAGUCGAUCCUCACAUCAGUCAAGAGAGUCAGAGAAGGCCAGUCACUCACUGUGAAGCAGUUUCAGAGACUGUUUGGGCUCAUGGCAGCUGCAUCCAACGUGAUACCUUUUGGUCUCCUGCACAUGAGGCCCCUUCAGUGGUGGCUCAAGACCAAGGGGUUUUCCCCGAGGGGAAAUCCUUUCCGAACUAUUCAGGUCACGCGGCGAUGCCUUCGUCCCUUAGACAUAUGGAAGAAACCUUGGUUCUUGAAUCAGGGCCCGGUGUUGGGAGCUCUUGGUCGCCGUGUAAAGCUAGCAACAGAUGCGUCCCUCACCGGUUGGGGUGCGGUCAUGAGUAGCCACCCUGCCCGCGGUCUGUGGAGCAGUCGCCAUCUGACAUGGCACAUCAAUUGUCUAGAAAUGCUAGCAGUAUAUCGAGCUUUAAAAUAUUUCCUCCCAGACCUGAGAGGCUGUCAUGUGUUAGUGCGCACCGACAACAAAGCGGUAGUCUCUUAUAUCAAUCACCAGGGGGUCUGCGUUCACACCCCUGUACAAGCUGGUGUACCAGAUCCUCCUGUGGUCCCAGGGCAAACUGCUCUCGCUAAGAGCAGUGUAUAUUCCUGGGCGAUUGAAUGUGGGAGCAGACAUGCUGUCGAGACAGGGGCCGAGGCCCGGGGAAUGGAUGCUUCAUCCCGAGGUGGUGAAGCAGAUAUGGCAAAUAUUUGGCAAAGCUCAGGUGGACCUCUUCGCGACUCGAGAGACAUCGCAAUGUCCCCUCUGGUUCUCUCUAGUUCACCCAGCUUCACUGGGACUAGAUGCCAUGGCACAGACUUGGCCGAGGCUUCGUCUGUAUGCCUUUCACCCCAUCGCUCUGCUCCUGGGAGUUCUGGCGAGAGUACGCCUGAACAGAAUCCGUCUGUUGUUAGUAGCCCCGUUCUGGCCGGGCCGAGUAUGGUUCGCAGAUCUGAUUUCUCUCCUCGACGGCUCUCCAUGGCAGAUUCCGAUCAGGACAGAUCUACUCUCUCAGGCGCAGGGCAAAAUAAUUCACACUCGCCCGGAGUUGUGGAAGCUGUGGGUGUGGCCCCUGAGGGGGCACAUCUGUUAGCAGCUGGUCUCUCAACCGAGGUUGUUGAGACCCUACUCCAAUCCAGAGCUCCCUCCACGAGGAAACUGUACGCCCUGAAGUGGAAACUCUUCACUUCAUGGUGCAGAGAUCGCCACUUUGACCCUGUUAACUGCCCAGUUGGUACAGUUCUGGAGUUUUUACAAGCUAGGCUCUCUGCGGGGUUAACCCACUCCACCUUAAAGGUGUACGUGGCGGCCAUAGCUGCUUACCACGUCCCUUUCAGUGACCAGUCACUGGGUAGACACCCCCUAGUUACACGUUUCCUCCGAGGUGCACUGAGGCUGAGACCUCCAGUACGGUCCCGUAUUCCCCCAUGGGAUUUGGUUGUGGUGUAA
ensembl:lncRNA